GUCUCCAGGAGGGAGAGUGCGGAGCUGUGGAAGGUGGUGCUGGGUCUGAAUAACCUGGACCAUCCGGGUGUUCACAGUCAGAGCCGCGGGGUGCGCUCCAUCAUCGUCCACCCACGGUACAACCGGGCGGUGGUGGACUACGACAUCAGCGUGGUGCAGCUGGAUUCAGAGGUGACGGAGACGGCGUUCGUCCGACCGGUGUGUCUCCCUCGGCCGGAGCAGCUUCCUGCUCCAGACUCCUACUGUUACAUCACAGGCUGGGGACACAUGGGCAACAGGAGUCAGUACACACACACACACACACACACACACAGCAACACACACACACACACACACACACACAAACAGAGACACACACACACACACAUACACACAGACCUACACUAAAAAUGUAGUGCCCACUUAAUGU